rnacentral:lncRNA from 1 species
UUGCAAGUUAGAGCACUAUAUUUAAUUCAACAUGGUUGACCUAGAAAUGGAAGGAAUAGUGAAUUAGGAUAUGGUAAACACUGUUUAUCACAAAGACCCAAAAUAGCAGUGGCUUAAAUCUGAUAGUUUAUUCUUCUUUCACAUGAACGUUUGAGCAGCUACGGUUCCUCUUCUCUACAGAAUCAUCAGAGUCCUUGGUUCCUUUUAUCUUUGUCUUCAUCCACAUAGUCCAAGGUAGCUCACUACCAAGUCCACAUUCCAGUCAGCGGGAAGGAAGACAGCAAAGGAUGGAAUCAUCACACUUUUCAAGGACAGAAGCCAGAAGUUGAACAUGUGCCUUCUAUCCAUAUCCUCUUAACCAGGAGUUAGUUACAUGGACACUGUGACACCUCAUGUUCACUGUGAGGAGAGGAGGAUCUUUAUCUCAUUUGAACUGAGGGAGAAGAAAAAUUUCCACAUCGGGUGUCUGAGCAACAACGGGUUCCCUCUGUAAUCACAGCUAUUUGGGAGGCUGAGGCAGGAGAAUCACUUGAACCCGGGAGGCGGAGGUUGCAGUGAGCCGAGAUCAUGCCACUGCACUCCAG